AUAGUGUAUACUCCAUAGUGUAUACAGUGUUGUUUACUACAGUACACAUAACCUGUGUUUUACUUGAAAACAAAUUAUUUUUCUGAUAAUAAAAUGUCUGACCGUGAUAAUUUAGAGAGUGAAAGUGAUCAGCCUCCUGCAAAGAAAGCAAAAUCACACUAUGACACACUAUCAAGUCAUCAAACCCAACAAUCAUCACAGGGGUCACAAAAUAUUAUUAUUGCAACUGGACAUCACCAAAAUCAGUUAAACACAAGACAUACUAUUAUUGUUAUGUAAGAUUUUAUUAAU